UAUGGUUUCAGUCUCCUGCUUCAGCUUCAGCUUCAGAGAUAAAAAAAUUUCUGCCAUUUUCUUUUUCCUUCGGAGAUCGUCUACUCACUUUGGGUGAUUCUCAACUUUCUCUGUCUUCCUUUUCUGUUGGAGUUUGUUGAUGUCUCUUAUGCGUGCUGGUGGAGUUCUACUAGCUAAAAUUCCGAACAAGAGGUUGUUGCAACAGAUAAUUCGUGUGGGAACAAUGCCUUUAAAGAGCAUAAAGAUGGUAGACUUCAAUAUGUUUUAUGUGAUAGUAGCAGUUUUGGUCCAUCCAGUUUGUUGUACAAUAUUCGUAGUGUGAUUUGUUUUUAUAGCAACAACGUGACUUGUCUAUGUUAAUAUUUUGGUUUCUUUUUCAGUCUAAGCUUUAUUUCAACUUCACAAUUA